GAUGAACGCUGGCGGUAUGCCUAACACAUGCAAGUCGUACGAGAGUUUUUAACUCUAGUGGCGGACGGGUGAGUAACACGUGAGAAUUUGCCUUUAGGAGGGGGACAACAAUUGGAAACGAAUGCUAAUACCCCAUAUGCUUUCGAGUGAAAUGGAUUUUAUCCGCCUAGAGAGAAGCUCGCGGCUGAUUAGCUUGUUGGUAAGGUAAGAGCUUACCAAGGCGACGAUCAGUAUCUGGUUUGAGAGGACGAUCAGACACACUGGAACUGAGACACGGUCCAGACUCCUACGGGAGGCAGCAGUGGGGAAUUUUGGACAAUGGGCGAAAGCCUGAUCCAGCAAUGCCGCGUGCAGGAAGAAGGCC
rnacentral:rRNA from 1 species